rnacentral:rRNA from 1 species
UCAACUUGAGAGUUUGAUCCUGGCUCAGAACGAACGCUGGCGGCAGGCCUAACACAUGCAAGUCGAGCGCUACCUUCGGGUGGAGCGGCGGACGGGUUAGUAACGCGUGGGAAUAUACCCUUCACUAUGGAAUAGCCUCGGGAAACUGAGAGUAAUACCAUAUACGCCCUUCGGGGGAAAGAUUUAUCGGUGAAGGAUUAGCCCGCGUAAGAUUAGAUAGUUGGUGGGGUAAU